GCCCUUGUAGCUCAGCUGGUAGAGCAGCGGUUUUGUAAACCGAAGGUCGCGGGUUCGAUCCCUGCCGAGGGCACCA
rnacentral:tRNA from 2 species